UACGGGGGGAGCAAGCGUUGUUCGGAUUUACUGGGCGUAAAGGGCGCGUAGGCGGUCAGCACAAGUCAGUUGUGAAAUCUCCGAGCUUAACUCGGAAAGGUCAACUGAUACUGUGCGACUAGAGUGCAGAAGGGGCAACUGGAAUUCUUGGUGUGAGCGGUGAAAUGCGUAGAUAUCAAGAGGAACACCUGCGGCGAAGGCGGGUUGCUGGGCUGACACUGACGCUGAAGCGCGAAAGCCAGGGGAGCGAACGGG
rnacentral:rRNA from 1 species